AGGACGAACGCUGGCGGCGUGCUUAACACAUGCAAGUGGAGCGACGAACCAGGCUUCGGCCUGGGGCAAAGCCGCGAACGGGUGAGUAACACGUGGGUAACCUGCCUCGAUGUUCGGGACAACCCGGGGAAACCCGAGCUAAUACCGGAUGUGGAAGCGAUCCAUAAGGAUCGUUCUCCAAAGGAAGCUUCGGCCUCUGCAUCGAGAUGGGCCCGCGGCCCAUUAGCUUGUUGGUGAGGUAACGGCUCACCAAGGCUCCGAUGGGUAGCUGGUCUGAGAGGACGAUCAGCCACACUGGGACUGAGACACGGCCCAGACUCCUACGGGAGGCAGCAGUGGGAAUCUUGCGCAAUGCGCGAAAGCGUGACGCAGCAACGCCGCGGUAGGGGGAAGAAGGCGUCGUUGGUCCGUUAAACCCCUUUCGAGGUUGGACGAAGCCGUCGGCGUAGAACGAGCCGCGUGAGGUGACGUACGUUAGAACGACGCCCGACUAACG
rnacentral:rRNA from 1 species